UACGUAGGUGACCAGCGUUGUCCGGAUUUACUGGGCGUAAAGAGCGCGCAGGCGGUCGUUCAAGUCGAGUGUGAAAGCCCCCGGCUCAACUGGGGAGGGGCACUCGAUACUGAUCGACUUGAAGGCAGGAGAGGGAAGCGGAAUUCCCGGUGUAGUGGUGAAAUGCGUAGAUAUCGGGAGGAACACCAGUGGCGAAGGCGGCUUCCUGGCCUGUUCUUGACGCUGAGGCGCGAAAGCUAGGGGAGCAAACGGG
rnacentral:rRNA from 1 species